UCUGCAAGGGUGUGCCAAGAGCAGGUGGAC
rnacentral:piRNA from 1 species